rnacentral:rRNA from 1 species
GACAGAGGCCUCGAGCGUUAGGCGGAAUCACUGGGCUUAAAGCGUGUGUAGGCGGGUCGUUAAGUGUCUUGUGAAAUCCCACGGCUCAACCGUGGAACGGCUGGGCAUACUGGCGACCUUGAGCAGCCUAGGGGCGAGCGGAACAAACGGUGGAGCGGUGAAAUGCGUAGAUAUCGUUUGGAACGGCCGAUGGUGAAAACAGCUGCGCUGGGGCUCGCUGGACGCUGAGACACGAAAGCCAGGGGAGCAAAGCGGG